AGGAUUUCGAAGAACAUACUAUGGAAAAAAGGCAAUAGAUGUGCCUCUGGAAAUGUUACAUUGCUUCUCAGAAGUAUAUUUGCAAAUGUGGGCAUUGAAAACUUGUAAAUACUGAAUUAUUUGUCUUGUCUGAAAUCACAAAAGAAAUUAAUCAAACCACUUCAGUUUUCAUUUUAGGUGCCACCCUCUGUAUCAAAGCAAUUCAGAUUGAAGUCUGAGAAGAUUGACUUGAAAGGCUUUGAGAUGCCUCAAAAAUAGCGUUCAUAGGUGAUUUCUGAAGGUGAAGUACUCCGAUGUAAAAGCCCAUACAGCCUUAAGAAUUCAUCUGGGGAUACAGUUGACUGAGAAUGCUGUGAUUUAAUCUAGAGACCUAUGUUAAGGUCGAGAGCAUUAGUAGGUAAGUAUAAUCAUUCUUCUACCUCAGCUGUUUAACUGGAUGACCCUGUUUUAUCUGUGUGGUGUAACCAGUGGUCACUGCAACCAAUUAUGGUGAUAUUGUUUAUUUCAUUAUUUCAAAAUAACAUCUAACCAAGGCAGCAAUUUUGUAAUUCCUUCUGGCAUAUUUGUCUUGCUUCCAU